GGGGAAUUUUGGACAAUGGGCGCAAGCCUGAACCAGCCAUGCCGCGUGAAGGAUGAAGGUCCUCUGGAUUGUAAACUUCUUAUAUCUGGGACGAAAACGGGAUUUUUAUCUCAAUUGACGGUACCAGAGGAAUAAGCACCGGCUAACUCCGUGCCAGCAGCCGCGGUAAUACGGAGGGUGCGAGCGUUAUCCGGAUUUACUGGGUUUAAAGGGUGCGUAGGUGGGCUUAUAAGUCAGUGGUGAAAUCUCCGAGCUUAACUUGGAAACUGCCGUUGAUACUAUAGGUCUUGAAUUAUCUGGAGGUAAGCGGAAUAUGUCAUGUAGCGGUGAAAUGCUUAGAUAUGACAUAGAACACCAAUUGCGAAGGCAGCUUACUACAUAUAAAUUGACGCUGAGGCACGAAAGCGUGGGGAUCAAACA
rnacentral:rRNA from 1 species